CCUAACGGCUGAACCAGCAACUUGGAUGAACGAAAGACGCAAACCCGCGUUAUCAUAAAAUAAUUUUAUGAGAGUAACUACGUUACAUUAAGUUCUAGGUAAAUUUUGAUAAUGACAUUAUUUAUCUAUAAGUCUUGACUAAGUCAUGUGCCAGCAGUCGCGGUAAGACAUGGAAGACAAGUGUUAUUCAUCUUUAUUAGGUAUAUUGGGUACUCAGACAGUUAAUUAAGCCGUAAAGGUACUAAUUACACUAGAGUUUAAUAAGAAAGGGCUAGAAUGGUGAGUGUAGUGAUAAAAUACGUUGAUGCCACUUAGAGACUGGCAACGGCGAAGGCAACCUUUUAUGUAAAAACUGACGUUAAAGUACGAAGGCUUAAGAUAAGAAACAGGAUUAGAUACCCCAGUACUGUGGGCAGACAAUGAUGAGUGCCAUAUGUAAGUAUAUAUAUAACUAAUAAAAAAAGUUAUUUAAUUAUUUGUGUAUAAAUGAAAGUGUAAGCACUUCACCUCAAGAGUAACAUGGCAACAUGGGAACUGAAAUCAUUAGACCGUUUCUGAAACCAGUAGUGAAGUAUGUUGUUUAAUUUGAUGACCCACAAAGAACCUUACCACAAUUUGAAUGUAUUCACAGGAGUUGCACGGCUGUCUUCAGUUGAUAUCGUGAGAUUUUGGUUAGUUCCAUUAAAUCAACGUAAACCCUAACUUUAUUUUUUUCAUAAAGUGGAUCGACAAUAUAUAGAUUAUGAUAAAAGGGACCAAGACAAGUCAUCAUGACCCUACGUAGAU
rnacentral:rRNA from 1 species